rnacentral:lncRNA from 1 species
UCUCAAGUCUAGUGGCCCACAGAAAAUCUGGGAAAAGAGACAGGAAGCCAGAACAUGGCUAGUGAUUAUCAGUAACUAUGAAAUUGAUUUUCUAAACCUCAUUUUAGAUGUAACAGUUGAGGUUGGCUGAACAUAAAAGCAUAGGAAAAGCAUAUCAUAAAAAUUUAAUCAUAAAAGAGUAAACAUUAUAGAAUUAUCUAAUAAAGGAAAAAAGGAAUUUUCAAAAAUAAUCAUCAGACUUCUUGCAAAAGGAAGAAUCAAUAAUCUAAAACAGUAGUCUCAAAAGAAAUUGUUUGGUUUUGUAAAUUCUUGUGACUGAGUCUUUCUUUGUAGCCAUCCUGACCUCAAACUUAUUAUCUUGCCUUAAUCUCCUUAGUGCUCAGCUUGAGAGAAAAAUCAAAUUAAAUGAAAAUAUCACAUCUCAGAGUGAGUAAAAAGCCAGGGAAUGACAGAAAUAUGUGUAGUAUUAACUGCAUUUAGAAAAAGAGAUGGCUUUAGGCUGUACUCCUAAGCCUUUAUCUCAAGAUCCUAGAGAAAGAAGAGUAAGUCAAUCUCCAGGCAAGGGAUGCCUUAGCAGCUAAGAACCCUGGCUGCUCAUUCAGAGGACCUGAUUCCUUUCCCAGCACACACAUGAUGGCUCACAAAAUUUGUUACUCCAAUUUCAGAGGCUCUGGUGUCCUCUUGUGGCUUCCACGGGUGCCUGCGUGCAUGUGGUACACAUGUAUAUGUGAAGCCAAACACUUAUACAUGU